rnacentral:tRNA from 1 species
GCCCUCAUAGCUCAGGUGGAAGAGCGCAUUCUUGGUAAGAAUGAGGUCAUGGGUUCAAGUCCCAUUGAGGGCU